UACGAAGGGGGCUAGCGUUGCUCGGAAUUACUGGGCGUAAAGCGCGUGUAGGCGGGCAUGCAAGUCGAGUGUGAAAUCCCUGGGCUCAACCCAGGAACUGCAUUCGAAACUGCAUGUCUAGAGUGUCGGAGAGGGAAGCGGAAUUCCUGGUGUAGAGGUGAAAUUCGUAGAUAUCAGGAGGAACACCGGUGGCGAAGGCGGCUUCCUGGACGAUUACUGACGCUGAGACGCGAAAGCGUGGGGAGCAAACAGG
rnacentral:rRNA from 1 species